AGGGAACGACGAUAAACGAGACGAACAACAAUAAUGACUCUGAUACUGGCUUGGACUACUCUGCAGGUGACGUGAAAAGGAUCAAGGACAAGAGUAAAGGAAAGGUUGGGGGAGAGAAACAUUGCAUUGAAUCUCAGGACCACAAAUGCAGAACCACACCGGAAAAAGAAAAAUACAUUAAACAAAGACCUAACUCGGAGAAAGCAAAGGAGACCCAGCAGAAAGAGAAGAAGAGCACCCAUCCAGCUGUGGCGGCCCUGCAGCUGUUCACUCUCUUCUGCUGUGGUGGGAAAGUCAAGCUGAGGAAGACUCGUCCCUCUCAGAACAGACAGAGUAGAAAGGACCAGAACAAAGAUAAUGCAUCUGAUACUGGCUCGGACUUGUCUGGAGGUGAUGUUACAACCAAAAGGGUAAAGGACAAGAGUAAGGGAAAGGUGGGGAGGGAGAAAGACCAGACUGAAUUUCAGCUGUUGAAAUCAUCUCAAGACCACAAACCCAUAAGUACAACACCAGAAACAGACAAGGGAACUAAUUCGGGACAAAGACCUAACUCUGUGAGACAACCAAACAUGCUAUAUCAUAUUUUAUUGUGAGCAAAAUAUCUUUCCCAUAAUGCUGUGUCAUCAUUGGGUGUUACAAUUGUGUUAUGCAGGAAAAUCGAAGGACACCCCGGCAAGUGAAGACCCCUGUGGAGGAAAUUUACAUAAGACCUGACUCUCCGACUCUACCACGUGCCCACAGCUCCCUCUCUCAGUUUUCCCUGGCAAGGAACCUGCCCAUCCACCUGUUGGAGUGGCAGCUACCUGGAGUCCCUCUGACCACCUCGUCUAUGGCAACUAGGACAGAGAGAAAGCCAUCCUCUACCAACACUUCGACACACGCACAGAUGGAAACACAGACAACAGAUAUGAACACAGACUCACAGACCACUGCCACCUCUCAGAGCCAGAUCUCCACGGUCUCAUCGGAGACCAUGAUAGAUGUUCACACGUCAGACUCCAUUACCCAGACCUCCACUCUUGACAUGGCCCUGACACCUGACAGCACUAAGGACAUGAUCACU
rnacentral:lncRNA from 1 species